rnacentral:rRNA from 1 species
AUUGAACGCUGGCGGCAUGCUUACACAUGCAAGUCGAACGGUAACAGGUUAAGCUGACGAGUGGCGAACGGGUGAGUAAUGCAUCGGAACGUGCCCGAUCGUGGGGGAUAACGCAGCGAAAGCUGCGCUAAUACCGCAUACGAUCUGAGGAUGAAAGCGGGGGACCGUAAGGCCUCGCGCGAUCGGAGCGGCCGAUGUCAGAUUAGGUAGUUGGUGGGGUAAAGGCUCACCAAGCCAACGAUCUGUAGCUGGUCUGAGAGGACGACCAGCCACACUGGGACUGAGACACGGACCAGACUCCUACGGGAGGCAGCAGUGGGGAAUUUUGGACAAUGGGCGAAAGCCUGAUCCAGCAAUGCCGCGUGCAGGAAGAAGGCCUUCGGGUUGUAAACUGCUUUUGUACGGAGCGAAAAGGCUCUCUCUAAUACAGGGGGCUCAUGACGGUACCGUAAGAAUAAGCACCGGCUAACUACGUGCCAGCAGCCGCAGUAA